CCCGGUGAUUUUUUUAACGGCCGCAGUUAGAAGCUGUGCUAAGGUAGCGUAAUCAGUUGUCCUUUAAAUGGGGAAAGGAAUGAAUGGUUUGACGUGAGAAUUACUGUCUCUUUAAGAAUUUUUGAAAUUUUCUUUUCAGUGAAAAGCCUGAAAUUUUGGUAAAAGACGAGAAGACCCUGUCGAGCUUAAAUAAGCGAUAUAAUCUUAUAUCGUGAAAAUUUGGUUGGGGCAACCCAGGAGCAAGAAGAGACUCCUUAAAGCUAUCGUGAUCCAAAAAUUUUUGACUAAAGAAAAAGCUACCGCAGGGAUAACAGCGUUAUCCUCUCUAAGAGAACAAAUUGACGAGGGGGUUUGCGACCUCGAUGUUGAAUUAAGAUUUCCGCUGGGCGUAGAA
rnacentral:rRNA from 1 species